rnacentral:rRNA from 1 species
UAUGUGAUCGUCUCUCGCAUAUCAAUAAGCGGAGGAAAAGAAACUAACAAGGAUUCCCUUAGUAACGGCGAGUGAAGCGGGAAGAGCUCAAAUUUGAAAUCUUCAAGGUUUUACCUUGACGAAUUGUAGUUUAAAGAAGUGUUUUCUGUUGAAGUUUUGGUAAAAGUUCUUUGGAAUAGGACAUCAUAGAGGGUGAGAAUCCCGUAUUUGACCAUUAUUUUCAGCUGUGUGAUACACUUUCAAAGAGUCGGAUUGUUUGGGAAUGCAGUCCAAAAUGGGUGGUAAAUUUCAUCUAAAGCUAAAUAUUGGCGAGAGACCGAUAGCGAACAAGUACCGUGAGGGAAAGAUGAAAAGAACUUUGAAAAGAGAGUUAAACAGUACGUGAAAUUGUCAAAAGGGAAGCGUUUGACACCAGUGUUGUUUUCUCGAAAAUCAAUUAAAAAGAGUUUGAUUUUGUUGUGUAUUGACCUUAACAGCUUGCAUUUCAAUUUUCUUGCUUUUUUUAAUGCACUUUUCGUUUAACAAGUCAACAUCAGUUUCUUUUGUUGUAAAAAGGUCAUUGGAAGGUGGCUUUCUUUUCGGAGAAAGUGUUUAUAGCCUUUGACUCCUGCAAUCGGAGAGACUGAGGUCUGCAGCGUAGAUCCUUCGGGGUUAGAUACAUUUGUGCUAAGUUAUAGCUUUUUAUAGACAACUUGUUGACUAUGAUUAGUCUUGUAGCUUACUCGCUUAUGCUAUUUUACCUACGCUUAGGAUGUUGAAGAUGUAGCACAUCAU